rnacentral:lncRNA from 1 species
AAGCACGAUCCGAUGGUUUAAAUUAAAUUUGAGAUGAGAUCUGAUGGUCCACAUCAAUUUUGACUUGAUUAAGGAGCUGAUCAAGUGAGAUCUGGGCUAGUUAAUGCUGAUCCAAUGGCCAAAAAUAGUUUGGAUUGAGACACAUUUAGGAUACGAUUUUGAGAUGUUUUGAGACUCCUUACACAUCCAGGACUUAAAAAAUUCAACAGCUAUAAAGAGGGGAGAUCUGAGAUGACCUGAGAACCAGGACAACAAAAUAGAGAUGCAAAACAGAGACCCUACCACUCUUCUCUACUCUUCCCUUCCUC